ACCCUCCCAUUGUGGGAAAGCGAAGGGCAGAAGGAGUGUGGCUGGAGGUCACUCCUGCCACUGAUCUUCCUCACUCAGGUCCAGCCUGUCAGAGGAUAAAGAGCAGUGGUGGGUGGGGGUAUCUGGCUCUCCCCCCACCCUCAUUCUCAGGGGUUCAGUAGUCCCUGGGAAAAAGAUUCAGCUAAGGAAUUUCUGGGAUGCUGGUUGGUUCUGGCCCUAAGGACACUGGGAGUGACAGCGGGCUGCUGAGGAUGUGACAGUGACUGAGCUGUUCCCUUCAUGUGACUCUACCAGGGCAAGCCCUGGCCAAAUCCCAGCACCUGCUGAAAGCUGAAGCUAACCACUGGAGUGAUUAGAUUCAUGACAUGUGAUGGAGGCCUGGGGAGUGCGGCUCCUGGGAAAGGACACAGCUAAGGAAUCUCCUCCCUCCCAGCAUUGCUUGACACUUUCACAAAGACAGUGAAAUGAAGAGAGAGGGAAGGAAGACACAGAGACUCUGAUCUUUGGCUUCACUUUGGUUCCAAGACCUGGAGCUGGCAGUGUAUGGAGGGUUGCCUGUUUGUCCAGGCAAUAUGAAUAAGACCAAGGUAACCCAGCUCAACUCUAGGACACAGCUAAGACAACAAGCAGCUGUGUCUUGUGUCUCAGCGCUCACAGAAAUGUAUAAAUCAUCUGAUACCAACUGCUCCCUGGCAGCCUCUGUCUCCAGAAUAUAAAUGCCCAACUACAGGAUUGGCAAAGAAACCAAGCCCUGCACCAUGCCUACUAUGGACCCUUAUUUCUUGUGGUUUGCUAAGAAAAAAGUAGGCCCAGGGGAGAGGAAGGGGAAAACCAGGAGGGUCUAAAGUUCUUCUGACUGAAAGAAAAGACCACAUGAGAGAGAGAGAAAGGAAUCAGUUAAGUAAUAAAAGGUUGUGAGUUUAUUUAUAAUUCAACUAAACAAAUUAUCUUCCUGCACAAACAUUCUGAGGAUUAAGUGAACAAUAUAAUACUUUUCUGAGCUCUUUCUGAUCAGAUGCUUUGCUGUUAAAGGUUAUAUUCCUGGGGAGUUGAUACUGAAGCUUCUUGUUCCUUGUCAGUAAACACAAGGAGAGGCCAACCCUCUGUAAAUUUAAAUUACACAAAACCUUUCCCCAAACUGUCUGGUCUCUUAACAGCCCCUUUUCACUGAACUCUGUGGUUAUGGAAUGUAAGUAUCUUUAUCACAGCAGCACAGACUUUUGAAAAUUUGACAUAAUCGAAUUUCUUCCUCACAAGGCAUAUCAAAUACCAUUGCAAACUAGUGGGAUUUUUUGCUUUUAAUCAAGACUAAAGCCGAGGGUCUUUUAUUUGUUUGUUUGUGCUUAGAUAUUUCCACAUGACCAAUAAAAUGUUCUCUCUGACCAUCAUCCCUGCUGUCUAGAAGUGCCAGGAACCUUCACUCACCCUCACCUCCAGAGGUAAGGGUAUGAACGGAUUGUGAAAAAACACAGCAGAACACUGGGGUCAGCAGAGAGAAAGAGGUAGAACCCCGUGGGCAGAUAAUCUAAAAGCAGCAAAGAAUCAAAGGGAAACUAACACAAGUGCCUGAAGAUGGAGACAACAAUUUUUAGUGAUUUUGGCUUGUCUCUGUUCUAUGAAGCUCUAACUCAUUGGCAACCUACUGUGAAAAUUUACGAAAUAUUUUUGGAUUUAUCUCUGUAAUUCCAGGUCUGGCACGGUAUAGUUUUCUUGAAUGAAUAAAUGAAUGAACAUGUCAA